UUUCUUCCAAUAUGAUAUGAUGUUCAUAGACAUCAGCGGGGAUACCUUAUAGAUCAUCAUAAGUCCAAGCAAAAGCAAAUUUAUGAGGUAAGAAAAAGUCUAUCCAACAAGUCAACUCUUGUUCUUUAAUACCUUCGUAGACCUUAAUUAGCUGAGGUUCGACCGUGGUUGCUAAGUUAAUAGUUUGACAUACAAGUUCAGCAACAAUACUCUGUUUCAAUUCUCGCAGUGAUUUAAAGUUACUCGGUAUGUCCGACAUAUGCGAAUUAAUGGAUCUCGUCUCGAGGGCACUAACAUGGUGCACAUCGUGCUGAGGUUUCCAGACAAUACUAACAUAAGAAGAGUUUUCCA
rnacentral:lncRNA from 1 species